rnacentral:rRNA from 1 species
UGUGAGUCAUUGCAGUAAUGCAAGGCAGACGGCUCAGUAACACGUAGUCAACCUACCCUAUAGACGGGGAUAACCUCAGGAAACUGAGGAUAAACCCCGAUAGAUCAUUAUGCCUGGAACGGCUUAUGGUCCAAAUGAUUCGUCGCUAUAGGAUGGGACUGCGGCCUAUCAGCUUGUUGGUGAGGUAAUGGCCCACCAAGACUAUUACAGGUACGGGCUCUGAGAGGAGUAGCCCGGAGAUGGGUACUGAGACACGGACCCAGGCCCUAUGGGGCGCAGCAGGCGAGAAAACUUUGCAAUGUGCGAAAGCACGACAAGGUUAAUCCGAGUGAUUCCUGCUAAAGGAAUCUUUUGUUAGUCAUAAUACCACUAACGAAUAAGGGGUGGGCAAGUUCUGGUGUCAGCCGCCGCGGUAAAACCAGCACCUCAAGUGGUCAGGAUGAUUAUUGGGCCUAAAGCAUCCGUAGCCGGCUUUGUUAGUUUUCGGUUAAAUCCAUAUGCUCAACAUAUGGGCUGCCGGGAAUACUGCAAAGCUAGGGAGUGGGAGAGGUAGACGGUACUCCGUAGGAAGGGGUAAAAUCCUUUGAUCUAUGGAUGACCACCUGUGGCGAAGGCGGUCUACCAGAACACGUCCGACGGUGAGGGAUGAAAGCUGGGGGAGCAAACCGGAUUAGAUACCCGGGUAGUCCCAGCUGUAAACUAUGCAAACUCAGUGAUGCAUUGGCUUGUGGCCAGUGCAGUGCCGCAGGGAAGCCG